UCCCUGGUGGUACAGUGGUUAAGACUCUGCACUCCCAAUGCAGGGGGCCAAGGUUCAAUCCCUGGCCUGGGAA